rnacentral:misc_RNA from 1 species
GCAAACUUGGUCAUUUAGAGGAAGUAAAAGUCGUAACAAGGUCUCCGUAGGUGAACCUGCGGAGGGAUCAUUACCGAGGAAGGCGGCCUUCUAGGCCCGCCACCUCACCAACCUUUGCUCAACCCCCCCCUUUUUCUAGGGGCCCCAUGCUUCGGCCGAGCGGCCGGCCGGGAGGGAACACGCUCCCAUCCGUCUGCCCUGCCCGAGGUCCGCGGCGGGGGCCCCCAAACCAAAACCUGCGUAUCUGUGAGUGUGAGCGGCGAAAGCCAAUGAACACAACCUGCAACGAUGGAUCUCUUGGCUCUGGCAUCGAUGAAGAACGCAGC